rnacentral:rRNA from 1 species
GACGGGGGAGGCAAGCGUUGUCCGGAAUUAUUGGGCGUAAAGAGCGCGUAGGUGGUUUGUAAAGUCAUUUGUGAAAACUUUAGGCUUAACUUAAAGACUGCAAGUGAUACUGACAAACUUGAGUACAGUAGAGGAAAGUGGAAUUCCUGGUGUAGCGGUGAAAUGCGCAGAUAUCAGGAAGAACACCAGUGGCGAAGGCGGCUUUCUGGGCUGUUACUGACACUGAGGCGCGAAAGCUAGGGGAGCGAACAGG